ensembl:lncRNA
AUGCAAACUGACAUUGCAAUCUUUACAUUGCCUCUAUACAUUUUAGCUAAUCAAAGUAAUCCAAAACAUGUUUUAUUAUUAUUUAUUAUUGUUAUUAUUACUAUUAUUAUUAUUAGUCAUGUAAUUUUCAUGAAUUAUGUUUCAAUAUGGAUUGAAGUCCUUAAACAUAUAUUUUGUUUGUUCUACAGGAUCACUUCAAACCAGAUUGAUGGCAGGAUGGAAUACACCUUCCAGGAUGGAGAUGUCACACAACCAGUCAGCUUCCUCAAUGAGCUACGUCUACCAACCAGUACAACAGUGUUUCCCGAAACAACAUUUGGUUUCUCUGUGACUCCUUCAAACCUCAUAUCUGGUUCAGCAGUGGUCACAAGCAAGCUGCUGUUCAACUCCUCAUCUCCAGUCCCCAGUGAAUCUCUGGUCCUCAAUGCAAUCAAAACUCUGCGUAAUUCAAGAGAGUCACAGCUCAAUGAAUCGGUGAAGGUGGUGAAUGUCACCUAUGAGAGUAAGUGUCAUCAUUUUCACUUGGAAAGUUCUGAAAUGAGAUUGAGUCAAACAAUGAGGCAUUACAGGCUUUUGACAAAUCUUUAAAUUACCAUUUCCUUCCAAACAGAAAUCUCAGAAACCUCCUAUGCUGUGGUCUUUACAUUUAACGUCAUUAACAUCAGUAUGCCAGAGGACCCUAAGUCUAGAGGCAACACCAACCAACAAGUGCAGGAUACCAUCAAUAAUGCGGUAAACUUAAAAUAAUGAACAGUGUAAAAAGGCUUAGGUUCAAUGCCAGUUUUCACGAGAUACUGAUGAAUGGUUUGAUUUAUCUCCUGCAGCUGAACACUCUUCUGAAUGAACCUGGCAGUCCAACUUUACAACCCAAGUCAUCAAACUUCACGUAAGAUGCAAACUGACAUUGCAAUCUUUACAUUGCCUCUAUACAUUUUAGCUAAUCAAAGUAAUCCAAAACAUGUAUUAUUAUUAUUUAUUAUUGUUAUUAUUACUAUUAUUAUUAUUAGUCAUGUCAUUUUCAUGAAUUAUGUUUCAAUAUGCAUUGAAGUCCUUAAACAUAUAUUUUGUUUGUUCUACAGGAUCACUUCAAACCAGAUUGAUGGCAGGAUGGAAUACACCUUCCAGGACGGAGAUGUCAUACAACCAGUCAGUUUCCUCAAUGAGCUACGUCUACCAACCAGUACAACAGUGUUUCCCGAAACAACAUUUGGUUUCUCUGUGACUCCUUCAAACCUCAUGUAAGUGUUGGAUUUCUAUUUUGACAACAAUCAAAAUUGGAGAAGGAAUUUUAUUGCAAAUAUUUGAUGAAUGUUAAACAAAAUUGGUUAUAUUUACAGAUCUGGAUCAGCAGUGGUCAAAAGCAAGCUGGUGUUCAACUCCUCAUCUCCAGUCCCCAGUGAAUCUCUGGUCCUCAAUGCAAUCAAAACUCUGCGUAAUUCCAGAGAGUCACAGCUCAAUGAAUCGGUGAAGGUGGUGAAUGUCACCUAUGAGAGUAAGUGUCAUCAUUUUCACUUGGAAAGUUCUGAAAUGAGAUUGAGUCAAACAAUGAGGCAUUACAGGCUUUUGAAAAAUCUUUAAAUUACGUUUUCCUUCCAAACAGAAAUCUCAGAAACCUCCUAUGCUGUGUUCUUUACAUUUAACGUGAUUAACAUCAGCAUGCCAGAGGACCCUAAGUCUAGAGGCAACACCAACCAGCAAGUGCAGGAUACCAUCAAUAAAGCGGUAAACUUAAAAUAAUAAACAGUGUAAAAAGGCUUAGGUACAAUGCCAGUUUUCACGAGAAACUGAUGAAUGGUUUGAUUUUUCUUUUGCAGCUGAACACUCUUCUGAAUGAACCUGGCAGUCUAAGUUUACAACCCAAGACCUCCAACUUCACGUAAGAUGCAAAUUUAUAUUUCAAUCUUGAC